CAGUAGCCGCGGUAAUACAGAGGGUGCGAGCGUUAAUCGGAUUUACUGGGCGUAAAGCGUGCGUAGGCGGCUUUUUAAGUCGGAUGUGAAAUCCCUGAGCUUAACUUAGGAAUUGCAUUCGAUACUGGGAAGCUAGAGUAUGGGAGAGGAUGGUAGAAUUCCAGGUGUAGCGGUGAAAUGCGUAGAGAUCUGGAGGAAUACCGAUGGCGAAGGCAGCCAUCUGGCCUAAUACUGACGCUGAGGUACGAAAGCAUGGGGAGCAAACAGGAUUAGAUACCCGAGUAGUCCCUGACUCUUAUAC
rnacentral:rRNA from 1 species